rnacentral:rRNA from 1 species
GAUGAACGCUGGCGGCGUGCUUAACACAUGCAAGUCGAACGAAGCACUUUAUUUGAUUUCCUUCGGGACUGAUUAUUUUGUGACUGAGUGGCGGACGGGUGAGUAACGCGUGGGUAACCUGCCUUGUACAGGGGGAUAACAGUUGGAAACGGCUGCUAAUACCGCAUAAGCGCACAGCAUCGCAUGAUGCAGUGUGAAAAACUCCGGUGGUAUAAGAUGGACCCGCGUUGGAUUAGCUAGUUGGUGAGGUAACGGCCCACCAAAGCGACGAUCCAUAGCCGACCUGAGAGGGUGACCGGCCACAUUGGGACUGAGACACGGCCCAAACUCCUACGGGAGGCAGCAGUGGGGAAUAUUGCACAAUGGGCGAAAGCCUGAUGCAGCGACGCCGCGUGAGCGAAGAAGUAUUUCGGUAUGUAAAGCUCUAUCAGCAGGGA